rnacentral:rRNA from 1 species
GAUGAACGCUGGCGGCGUGCCUAAUACAUGCAAGUCGAGCGAACGGACGAGAAGCUUGCUUCUCUGAUGUUAGCGGCGGACGGGUGAGUAACACGUGUAUAACCUCCCUAUAAUACUGGGAUAACUUCGGGAAACCGGCGCUAAUACCGGAUAAUAUUUUGAACCGCAUGGUUCAAUAGUGAAAGACGGUCUUUCUGUCACUUAUAGCUGGAUCCGGGCUGCUUUAGCUAGUUGGUAAGGUAACUGCUUACCAAGGCAACGAUGCAUAGCCGACCUGAGAGGGUGAUCGGCCACACGGGAACUGGGACAGGGUCAAGACUACUACGGGAGGCAGCAGUAGGGAAUCGUCCGCAAUGGGCGAGAGCCUGACGGAGUAAGGCGGCGUGAGUGAUGAAGGUCUUCGGAUCGUAAAACUCUGUUAUUAGGGAAGAACAUAUUUGUAAGUAACUGUGGACAGCGUGACGGUACCUAAUCAGAAAGCCACGGCUAACUACGUG